rnacentral:lncRNA from 1 species
UUCAGAUUAGUGGCUUGAUUGAGACAGACUAGAGAUCUUAUACCCAGGCCUCCUUCAUCUAUAUCUACACAAACUUUCUUCCAUGCUACUGUAACCAUUUUCCUUCUAUUUAUAUCCCCACUCCAUAGAAGGUUUUUGAUCCAUUUCUCCAUAUCACUAAGAAGGUUAGUUGGCCAAGAGAAGACAGACAUGGUGUGUAAAACCAUGCUUUGUGACAAGUUGGACUCUACCAGCUAUAGACAACAAAGAAGCCUUCCAAGUGGCUAACUUUAAUUUGACUUUAUCAGCAAUAGGUUGAAAGUGGAUUCUUUUAGGUUUACCUUUGAAAAUUGGUGCACCUAGAUAGGAGAGAGAGGUACACUAAAUUAUUCAAAUAAACAACACAACAAUUAAAAAUUCAACUGACACAACUGACAUCUGACAAAUACGAGUUUAUCGAAAAAGAACUGAUGUGGACUUUGAUUUAUUUUUUUCGUCCAUCUUUUCACACUUUUUUUUUUAUUUUUUUUUAUUGAAUAGAAAUACCUUCUUCCCCUUUUGUUCACAUAAUUCUUCCUUGCUAAGUAAUCGUUCCUUUUUCUCUGCAACCAUCAUCACUUCUUCAAUCUGAAACGGAUAUAACUAACAAGAAAUUUUUCUCUGUAUACCAAAGAAGGGUUAGUGCAAAUAACUAUACAAUAGCGAAAAAUAUUUACAAAUUAUAUACAAAUGCUCAAAACAACACAAAUUGUCGCGAUGCUUAAAAUAUCUAAACGCCAGUCCCCAGCAGCGGCACCAUUUUGAUGUAGUAUUUUUCUAUCAAUCAAAAGUAAGUAUUUUUGUGUAUCGUCUCCACAGGGACUAGUGCGAUAUUCAAGCCAUUUAACAAUUAAUAUCGUUCUAAGUGUAUGGAUUUAAAAUGUUUGUUUGUGUAAACUUAUAUAAACUAUUUUACAUAAAAUAAAUAGAGAAGAGAUAGGACCAAUUCACUUGGGGUCAGAGAUACUCAACCAAGCGUAACAACUGCAAUUUCACGAUCAAAUAACAGAUUCUAGCUUUUUAAACGAUAUUAUCACAAUCACUCCACAAUAUCAUUCGUGUCCAAAUGAUAUCGUUAUUUCUAAGGGAUCGUUUAAAUGUCGAUUUUCCAAACAUUAAAACAAUCACAAAGUCGACUGGAUCGUUUAAUCGACGAUUUCCCAACAGAUUAAAUGACCCAAAAACNUGAUGGUUUCAAAUGGGUUUCUCAUGUCAUUUAAGUUUGUUUCUGUACUGAUGAAUUGGAAGUAGUGUUGGUAGACAUUACUUUUCAAGAAAGAUAAAAAAGAACACAAAAAUUUUGUAAUAGUUUUUUUUUUUGAAAGAAAAAAAUUUAGAUUUUUUUGAAGAUGAUAAGAUUGAUGAAGGUUGAAUGAAGUUGUUAAGAAGAUGAAGGAGAUUAAUGAUGUUGCUGGAUUUUUGUGGAACCACACGUGCCUCACCUUUUUCCUUUCCUUUUUUAUAUAUUUUUCAUUUUUUUAAUUCAACAAUUUAAAAUCUGACAUUUUUAUUUUUUUAAAUGGUUAAUUACACACGUGGCAUACCAAAUAAGCGUUGACCAAGUCAAAAUUGGCUAAAAGGAUCAAAGAUGUAAAGGGGCUAAAUCUUAGGGGGUCAAAAUUGUAGUUUUAAUACUUAGGGGGUCAAAAUUGCAAGUUUUUGAAAGUUAGGGGUGGAAAAGUGCACUUUAGCCUUUAUCUUUAAAUUUCAACUUUACAAUCUGGUCCACCUCAUACAUUAAUAAUGGGACCACCGUGGCUGUCAUGACUGACGUAUAACGUGACGGAACCCCGACGACCACCAUAUCAAUGCACUUGAUGACAUAGAUCGAUAUGGAUGAGUGGCAUGAAAAUUUCAUGCAAUGUGAUCUCUAAAUCAUGUCUAUUUUAUGUAACAGUCUGAUUUUUAGCUAGAUUUAUUUUAAUUACUUUUAUUAUGUGUUUAUAUGUGCUUGUGUGUGAUUAUUCAUCAUUGGGUGCAUUUUCAUGGGUUUCCGUGUUAGAAGGGUAUUUUAGUCGUUUUGGACUUAAGGGUAUUUUGGUCAUUUUGUGAGAACGGAUAAAAUUAUAAUUUUUGGUGAGAAUUACUUUUAGUGAUUCGUGAAAAUAGUUAUUUUACUAAGUUGCUAGAAUAAAACUAAGAUUUUACCGUUUAGUGACCGUGAGUGACAUUUUACCGUUACUUACCGUUAUUAGUUAAUUACCGGUUAGAGUGUAGAAACAUUUGAGAUGUGAAUAGAAAUGGGUUAAGUCCAUUAAGUGGAGGGUUAGGCCUGAUGUAGUAUUUUUCUAUCAAUCAAAAGUAAGUAUUUUUGUGUAUCGUCUCCACAGGGACUAGCGCGAUUCAAGCCAUUCAACAAUUAAUAUUGUUCUAAGUGUAUGGAUUUAAAAUGUUUGUUUGUGUAAACUUAUAUAAACUAUUUGACAUAAAAUAAAUAGAGAAGAGAUAGGGCCAAUUCACUUGGGGUCAGAGAUACUCAACCAAGCGUAACAACUGCAAUUUCACGAUCAAAUAACAGAUUCUAGCUUUUUAAACGAUAUUAUCACAAUCACUCGACAAUAUCAUUCGUGUCCAAAUGAUAUCGUUAUUUCUAAGGGAUCGUUUAAAUGUCGAUUUCCCGAACAUUAAAACAAUCACAAAGUCGACUGGAUCGUUUAAUCGACGAUUUCCCAACCGAUUAAAUGACCCAAAAGCAUUAAGUUCUAGUUUAAAAAUGAUUAUCAAAUAUUAACAUCUAUGUCUAGAGUGAUAACUUAAGAUAGAUUGUUAUUCUAUUUCUUAAAUCCAAAAGUAUUUGUCAAUAUCAUUUUGAAUCUCAAUAAAACAUUAAACACAAGAAUAACAACAAUAUUGAAUAAAUAGCUAGAAUCAUAUAUAAGUUUACAUAAUGGCUUGUUUGAAUACCUCAAAACCCACAAGGGUAGAUGUAGCUACAUAUGUCUAUGAUAGCUUUGCAAAGGAUGAAGAAAAGAGAUGAAGAUUCCAUGCCUAGAUUCAUGAUGUCUCAACAAAUCUUGGGUAGAAUCUACUCCUAACACCUUGCUUUGUGUUUCUCUAUGGAAUUGCAUCUUUCUCUAAGAACCCAAAAAAUCUCCAAAAAUGGUGUUGUUCCUCCAAGCAAAACAUGAUUCCCCCCUCCAUUUCUAAGUUCCUGUGCAGCUUUUUUCUAACAGUGUCAUCCUCCUAUUUUUUCUUCUCUCGGGUCAACAACAAUGUUGGGUCAAAAGCCGAAUUGUUUUUAACUUUCCCUUAUGUUUUGCACUUCUUUUUCUUUAUUAUUCACACCAGCCAUUUAGCACAUCAAUACAAGCUCAUCCAAAUUUUCUUUCUUUGCUCCUAUUACUACUAACUAUUAUAAUAAUAAUAAUAAUAAUAAUAAUAAUAAUAAUAAUAAUAAUGAUGAUAAUAAUAAUAAUAAUAAAAUAAACUAAUUGACUCAAUUAAUAAAUAAAACCAUAAUUUAUUUAAAAUGACUCUAAAUGAAAUACUAAACUAAUAAAAUAGACUAAAAACUUAAUUAAAAAGACUCAAAAAAUGUGAUAUGACAGACUGUCAUCACAACCCCAAACUUGAAUCAUUCCUUGUCCUCAAGGAAUUCACUUGUCACAUUGACAAUCGACAGUAAAAUAACAAUUACCUAAUCAAGGGAUAGUACCCAAAAGUUCAUCUCCCUACUAGCUAAAAAUGAGUCAGUUUGACUUGCUUGCAUCCUCCAUUCACAACUCCACGCAACAAUAUGAUAAGGGUUCACACACAGUCUACGUGCAGGUCUACAUAUUACCAUACGCUUGAAAAGUUUCUAAACGUCAAUCAAAAUCAAUGUCAUUACACACUUUGAGGUCUUUAAGGGUUAUAACGGGGCUUAGGUAAAGGUGAGAUAAUAUUUGAAUAAGUAGGCUACACAAAAUUUGAGUUAGGGACUCCUUCGAAAAUUAAAGCAAAGAUUCAAUCCCUCAUUCACCCUUUGAAACAACAAUGGUAAAAGUUACUAGAGAAUAUUUGUAACUAUUGGGACAAUCGAGUUUGAAAUUACUCGGAUUUAUCAUUGUUUGUCCCCUUCUUCUUUUCAUUCUUUUUUUUUUUUAUACACCAUUUUUGUGUAUAUUUUUCAUGCUUUGUUCUUUAUUCUCUACUCCACCCCAAACUUAGUUGGUUGCAAAUUCCAAAAGCAACCUCAACUUAUUGUUUAGCAACACCCUACUUAGCCUAACUCAAAUAUAACAUUUUGGGUUAAAUCCUAAAAGUCUCUAGGCUAAAUAUGUAGUUUGUCACCGAACAAAAAGAUUUAAACCUACCGGCUCAAUUUGGCUUUCAAAAAGGAUAAUUUCAAAUUAAAUAAGGGUAGGCUUCAAAGGCUCACAGGACCAAGCACUUUUGCCUCAGUGUGUAAAUGACAAAGACCGAUCAACAAUAAAGAAACAAUGCAAGUUCUAGAAAUGUAGUUGCACGGAACACUCUAUAUAAGUAAAUUGAAAAAUAAAAUUUGACUAUUAACCUUACAGUGUUAGAUUUCUGGGAGUUGUGACUACCUAUCACAUAUGCCGUAAACUUCGCCUUGUAAUUUCAAGUCACUACCUCCUUAUGAACUUUUGGAAUACUACUUGACUACACAAUUGUUACUAAACUGGAAAAAGUCAAUAAACAAGAAAAUUCAUCAAUAAUAAACAAGUUCAGACUCAAUUACAUAACAGAGGUACACUAAAUAUUUUUUUUUUCCAAAAAAAGAGUAGCUAGCAAAGUGCUAAGCUACCAAAAUAUAUUAAGAAAGAGAAAGCAAACGAGAAACAAAAAGGAGGAGGACAAGAACCAAAACCUCCUUACAUAUUCACAAAUCUAAAGUUAGGCAUACCUAACUUGUUUUUACCAUAAAAAACUCUAAUAAAUUCAGGAACAUGCAACCAAACCCUAAGAUGAGUCAGAGAAAGGCCAGCAUUAGCUAAGGCAUCAGCACAAGUGUUUCCUUCUCUAAAGACAUGUGUAGCAAUGAAAUUCAUGGACCUUAUGCUGAUUAAGCAGUUAUUCCAUCUGUUUCUAAGUUUCUAGGGAAUAGAGUGAUUUUUAAUAGCCAUGAUCACUAAAUUUGAAUCACAUUCAAGCCAAAGAUUAUUCCAGUUGUAUUGCUUGGCCAGCUCUAUGGCUCUCAUUGCUCCUGAUAGUUCAGCAUGAAAUGCAUUUCCCUCACCCGUGUUCUCAGCAAAGCAAAGCAACAAAGCAGAAUCAUGAUUCCUAAAUAUACCUCCACAAGCAGAAGAUGUAGAUGUUGAAGACCCAUCAGUAUUGCACUUGGUCCAAAGAGGGAUAGGAGGUUUCCUGAGGACUUCAAUGAUUUUAGGUGCCUUAUGAGGGUGCAGAUUAACAUUGAAUUUCUUUAAUAUGACAAAGUUGGAGAUGCUAGCAGAAGCAACUGCCUUAGUUAAGUUACCAGAGAGAGCAGUGUUAGAAAUUACAGUAGAAAUGGAACUUCUCCAAUGAAUUUUCUUGUUUGAGAAUCUUUGUUGGUUUCUAGCAUACCAAAUUGAAUUAAUGAUAUUAAUCAUUGUGGCAGUUAUCACAAGUUGGUAUUGGGGAUUCCAUGACCUGUUACAAAUUGACCAUAUCUCUUCUACACUUUGAAAGACAAGAGUUUUGUUGAGAAUAGAGGCAAACCAGCACCAAAGCUUUGCUGCAAAAGAACAUUCAAAAAAUAUAUGAAAGGAGGUUUCAGCAUACCUACAACAUAGGGAACACAUAGAGGGCAUGUAACAGCCCCUACUUGCAAGAUUUUCAUCAGUUGGCAGUUUGUUCAACAUUAGCCUCCAAACUAGCAGGGACUUUGAUGGAGGGAUAUCUUUAUUCCAAAUAAUCGUUGCCCAAGCAACCUUUGGAAAAUGGUGUUUUUUAAAGUCAUAAGCUUCCUUAAGAGUUAAAAUACCAGUACCAUUAUGCCUCCAAACCAACUUGUCUUGUUUACACUCAGCAGGAAGGGUAAUUUGCGCAACAAGUCAAGUCAAAGGAGGGAAAAUUUGGUGCAGUUCAGGAGGGAUACUCCAACAAGAACCAUGAAUAUAAUGAUUGAGCUCCUUAGGAAACCUUUGAACAAGUGAAGGAGUUAGUAGGGGAGAUUGGAUUAAAGGAUCUCCACACCAAGAGUCAAGCCAAAAAUUUAUGUUCCUACCAUUACCAAUGAGCCAACUUGAAUUAUCUUUGACAGUAUUGAAUUCUGAUUUCAUACCACUCCAUAAAGAUGAAAAAAUAUGAUGUUGAAUACAAGAGCUACCUCUUAACACCCUACUUUUAAGAACAUUAGUCCAUUGCUCCUCAGAAUUAAAAAGUUCCCAACACAGCUUCAGAUUAGUGGCUUGAUUGAGACAGACUAGAGAUCUUAUACCCAGGCCUCCUUCAUCUAUAUCUACACAAACUUUCUUCCAUGCUACUGUAACCAUUUUCCUUCUAUUUAUAUCCCCACUCCAUAGAAGGUUUUUGAUCCAUUUCUCCAUAUCACUAAGAAGGUUAGUUGGCCAAGAGAAGACAGACAUGGUGUGUAAAACCAUGCUUUGUGACAAGUUGGACUCUACCAGCUAUAG